CGGAAGGAUCAUUAAUGAGAUCAUGCCCUUCGGGGUAGACCUCCCACCCUUUGUUUACAAUACCAUUGUUGCUUUGGCGGCCCCGUCGCAAGACAACCGGCUCCGGCUGGUCAGUGGCCGCCAGAGGACUCCAAAACUCAUAUUGUCAUUGUCGUCUGAGUACUAUACAAUAGUUAAAACUUUCAACAACGGAUCUCUUGGUUCUGGCAUCGAUGAAGAACGCAGCGAAAUGCGAUAAGUAAUGUGAAUUGCAGAAUUCAGUGAAUCAUCGAAUCUUUGAACGCACAUUGCGCCCCCUGGUAUUCCGGGGGGCAUGCCUGUUCGAGCGUCAUUACAACCCUCAAGCUCUGCUUGGUAUUGGGCGCCACCCCCGGGUGCGCCUUAAAAUCAGUGGCGGUGCCGUCUGGCUUCAAGCGUAGUAAUACUUCUCGCUUUGGAGUCCGGGCGAGCGUCCUGCCAAAACCCCCAUAUUUUUUCAGGUUGACCUCGGAUCAGGUAGGGAUACCCGCUGAACUUAAGCAUAUCUAAAG
rnacentral:rRNA from 1 species